rnacentral:tRNA from 1 species
GGAGGGGGAGCGAAGUGGCUAAACGCGGCGGGCUGUAAAUCCGCUCCUUCGGGGUCGGCAGUUCGAAUCUGCCCCCCUCCACCA